rnacentral:lncRNA from 1 species
UUAAAUUUAUUUAUAGUAAACGCGUCUAUUUUCUUUACGUCUUAUUAUGUUAGAUCGUAGACAAGAAUACGUUUGUCGGCUUUCUAUUAAUAUACAUACAUAAGUUUUUAAUACUAUGCAUGCUGUUUAGGUCCAGUGUCGUAAACAAGUAUCGUAUAUUUCUACAUGCUCACAGGUGUGCGACGCGCACAAGCUCGUUUAUUUAAAAAUUGUAAACAACGGCCGCGAGAGCAUCGCGCGCAACUGUGAUUCACGUUCACGUUCCUUCGAUACAAGGCCAACCGUUUAGCUUGUUUCCACUUACAUACGUACUACGUACUUAAUUACUUGCGUAGCAAGACAUGUAUACACGCUGGAUUCUAUAUUCAGAUCUUUUUUUUUCUUCUUCCUCUUCUUAAAAAAAAAAACAGAAGAAAAAUAACAUAUUUUUCCUCUUUGUCUUUUAUUUUCCAUUUAUUAUUCACAGACAGAGGAAAAUAAUACGACACGUUAGAAAUUAAUUGAAAAUAAUCUACGUUAGUUUAACGAGUCCGGAAGAUAGUCGUGUUUAAAUGCAAACGCGUGAAAGAAGCGUGCGGUCGUUGAUUCUUCUAUCGUGGAUAAGAAAAAAGUAUAUUAGAUAAAACGUUAUCGUCAAACGAGAGCACCGACAUGUAACGCUUUGAAAUUGCAUCAUUGUACAAUAAUUGCGCUGUACCGAAAGCCGAGAGUACAUAGAAAAUUUGUGCUAAGCUUAUACGCAGUUUUCUCGACAUAUUAUAAAAGAAGAAGAAGAAGAAGAAAAAAAAACAAAAAGAAAGAGAACAAAAAUAACAAAAAAAGAUAAUAUUAUUUAGCUCGGAAUAUUUUGAUAAUCCAUCGCUAUUAAUUUAUCUAUUUAUCGAGAAAUUCGCGGAAUAUAAAAGUACUUUUCAAACAAUGUUGUUGUUUCGAACGAAAAGCAAUAAUGGAUCGUUGAGAUUAUUUAGAAAUCUCUCUCUCUCUCUCUCUCUGUCUUUUUCCAUUUCUUCGAUUGCCAAAGAAGGAAAGAAUAUAUUUGCCGAAAAAAUAUUUACCGCGAGCCCGAGUGGUAAAUACCAUCUGUCUAUCAGUAAUCGUGUUGGGUAUUUCUCCAAGUCAGUCGCGAUAGAAGAGAGGAAGAUGAGGGACGCGUACCAUGUACUUGAUAGGGGCAGGGAGUGGGAGUAGAAGAAGAAAAAGGGGGAGGGAGGACGAAUAGAGAGAGGGACAUGGCAAUCACGUUCAGAGAAGAGGGGGAGGAAGAGAAAUCACGAUUACACUGCUUGUACGCCGUUAUCGAUAAACAUCCGAGUGACAGUGAGCAAGUGAGAGAGAGAGAAAGAGAAAGAGAAAGAAAAAAAGAGAUAGAAAAAGUCUCUGAUUAUAAGAUGGAAAAGGAGAGAGCGUCAACUACUAAUGAAAACAACAACAACAACAACAAAAUUGUCGAGGAGAGAACUUUUGCGAGUCAGUGUCUUGGCACGAGGAGAACGCACGACCAACGGACAAAAGUCCAGUAAAGAUGACGAAAGCGUUUACUGCGAAGAUUACCGCUUGCGUUAUGACUAACUUGUCUGCGAUUUGCGCAGUGUCGAAUCGCAACUAUUUAUUACGAUGUAAUCCCCGAGUUACGAGUGGGGUCAGAGUAUUUUUAACGACGCUAUUAAUGGAGAUUCAUAUUUCGAAAUAAAAUAACACGAGAGAUAUUGUAAUUUUAUUAAUAAACAACUGAUAUCUA